rnacentral:rRNA from 1 species
UACGAAGGGGGCUAGCGUUUGUUCGGAAUUACUGGGCGUAAAGCGCGUGUAGGCGGGUCUUUAAGUCAGGGGUGAAAAUCCCAAGGCUCAACCUUGGAACUGCCUUUGAUACUGGGGAUCUCGAGUCCGGAAGAGGUUGGUGGAACUGCGAGUGUAGAGGUGAAAAUUCGUAGAUAUUCGCAAGAACACCAGUGGCGAAGGCGGCCCAACUGGUCCGGUACUGACGCUGAGGUGCGAAAGCGUGGGGGAGCAAACAGG